AGGGGCUGGCGACUUGGGCAGCCUUGGGGAGGGGAGGUGGCAUCCUCUGGCCAUUUUCAGCUCGGGUGGAUUUAAGUUUUAGACUCUGUAACCUGGAGGGG
rnacentral:lncRNA from 1 species